UGUUUUUGAUCGUGUUUAUGACGUCGAAUAUCGACGUCAUAAACACCAAAGUUGAUCGUGUUUAUGACGUCGAAUAUCGACGUCAUAAACACCAAAG